rnacentral:rRNA from 1 species
GGGUUGUGAGGUUAAGCGACUAAGCGUACACGGUGGAUGCCGGCAGUCAGAGGCGAUGAAGGACGUGCUAAUCUGCGAUAAGCGUCGGUAAGGUGAUAUGAACCGUUAUAACCGGCGAUUUCCGAAUGGGGAAACCCAGUGUGAUUCGUCACACUAUCAUUAACUGAAUCCAUAGGUUAAUGAGGCGAACCGGGGGAACUGAAACAUCUAAGUACCCCGAGGAAAAGAAAUCAACCGAGAUUCCCCCAGUAGCGGCGAGCGAACGGGGAGGAGCCCAGAGCCUGAAUCAGUGUGUGUGUUAGUGGAAGCGUCUGGAAAGGCGCGCGAUACAGGGUGACAGCCCCGUACACAAAAAUGCACAUGCUGUGAGCUCGAUGAGUAGGGCGGGACACGUGGUAUCCUGUCUGAAUAUGGGGGGACCAUCCUCCAAGGCUAAAUACUCCUGACUGACCGAUAGUGAACCAGUACCGUGAGGGAAAGGCGAAAAGAACCCCGGCGAGGGGAGUGAAAAAGAACCUGAAACCGUGUACGUACAAGCAGUGGGAGCCUCUUUAUGGGGUGACUGCGUACCUUUUGUAUAAUGGGUCAGCGACUUAUAUUCUGUAGCAAGGUUAACCGAAUAGGGAGCCGAAGGGAAACCGAGUCUUAACUGGGCGUUAAGUUGCAGGGUAUAGACCCGAAACCCGGUGAUUCAGCCAUGGGCAGGUUGAAGGUUGGGUAACACUAACUGGAGGACCGAACCGACUAAUGUUGAAAAAUUAGCGGAUGACUUGUGGCUGGGGGUGAAAGGCCAAUCAAACCGGGAGAUAGCUGGUUCUCCCCGAAAGCUAUUUAGGUAGCGCCUCGUGAAUUCAUCUCCGGGGUAGAGCACUGUUUCGGCAAGGGGUCAUCCCGACUUACCAACCCGAUGCAAACUGCGAAUACCGGAGAAUGUUAUCACGGGAGACACACGGCGGGUGCUAACGUCCGUCGUGAAGAGGGAAACAACCCAGACCGCCAGCUAAGGUCCCAAAGUCAUGGUUAAGUGGGAAACGAUGUGGGAAGGCCCAGACAGCCGGAUGUUGGCUUAGAAGCAGCCAUCAUUUAAAGAAAGCGUAAUAGCUCACUGGUCGAGUCGGCCUGCGCGGAAGAUGUAACGGGGCUAAACCAUGCACCGAAGCUGCGGCAGCGACACUAUGUGUUGUUGGGUAGGGGAGCGUUCUGUAAGCCUGCGAAGGUGUACUGUGAGGUAUGCUGGAGGUAUCAGAAGUGCGAAUGCUGACAUAAGUAACGAUAAAGCGGGUGAAAAGCCCGCUCGCCGGAAGACCAAGGGUUCCUGUCCAACGUUAAUCGGGGCAGGGUGAGUCGACCCUAAGGCGAGGCCGAAAGGCGUAGUCGAUGGGAAACAGGUUAAUAUUCCUGUACUUGGUGUUACUGCGAAGGGGGACGGAGAAGGCUAUGUUGGCCGGGCGACGGUUGUCCCGGUUUAAGCGUGUAGGCUGGUUUUCCGUGCAAAUCCGGAAAAUCAAGGCUGAGGCGUGAUGACGAGGCACUACGGUGCUGAAGCAACAAAUGCCCUGCUUCCGUGAAAAGCCUCUAAGCAUCAGGUAACAUCAAAUCGUACCCCAAACCGACACAGGUGGUCAGGUAGAGAAUACCAAGGCGCUUGAGAGAACUCGGGUGAAGGAACUAGGCAAAAUGGUGCCGUAACUUCGGGAGAAGGCACGCUGAUAUGUAGGUGAAGCGACUUGCUCGUGGAGCUGAAAUCAGUCGAAGAUACCAGCUGGCUGCAACUGUUUAUUAAAAACACAGCACUGUGCAAACACGAAAGUGGACGUAUACGGUGUGACGCCUGCCCGGUGCCGGAAGGUUAAUUGAUGGGGUUAGCGGUAACGCGAAGCUCUUGAUCGAAGCCCCGGUAAACGGCGGCCGUAACUAUAACGGUCCUAAGGUAGCGAAAUUCCUUGUCGGGUAAGUUCCGACCUGCACGAAUGGCGUAAUGAUGGCGGGCUGUCUCCACCCGAGACUCAGUGAAAUUGAACUCGCUGUGAAGAUGCAGUGUACCCGCGGCAAGACGGAAAGACCCCGUGAACCUUUACUAUAGCUUGACACUGAACAUUGAGCCUUGAUGUGUAGGAUAGGUGGGAGGCUUUGAAGUGUGGACGCCAGUCUGCAUGGAGCCGACCUUGAAAUACCACCCUUUAAUGUUUGAUGUUCUAACGUUGGCCCCUGAUCGGGGUUGCGGACAGUGUCUGGUGGGUAGUUUGACUGGGGCGGUCUCCUCCUAAAGAGUAACGGAGGAGCACGAAGGUUGGCUAAUCUCGGUCGGACAUCAGGAGGUUAGUGCAAUGGCAUAAGCCAGCUUGACUGCGAGCGUGACGGCGCGAGCAGGUGCGAAAGCAGGUCAUAGUGAUCCGGUGGUUCUGAAUGGAAGGGCCAUCGCUCAACGGAUAAAAGGUACCGGGGAUAACAGGCUGAUACCGCCCAAGAGUUCAUAUCGACGGCGGUGUUUGGCACCUCGAUGUCGGCUCAUCACAUCCGGGGCUGAAGUAGGUCCCAAGGGUAUGGCUGUUCGCCAUUUAAAGUGGUACGCGAGCUGGGUUUAGAACGUCGUGAGACAGUUCGGUCCCUAUCUGCCGUGGGCGCUGGAGAACUGAGGGGGGCUGCUCCUAGUACGAGAGGACCGGAGUGGACGCAUCACUGGUGUUCGGGUUGUCAUGCCAAUGGCACUGCCCGGUAGCUAAAUGCGGAAGAGAUAAGUGCUGAAAGCAUCUAAGCACGAAACUUGCCCCGAGAUGAGUUCUCCCUGACUCCUUGAGAGUCCUGAAGGAACGUUGAAGACGACGACGUUGAUAGGCCGGGUGUGUAAGCGCAGCGAUGCGUUGAGCUAACCGGUACUAAUGAACCGUGAGGCUUAACCUUACAACGCCGAAG